rnacentral:rRNA from 1 species
CCUUGCGACUGCGGAGACAUUAUUGAGUUCUUUGAAGUGGGGGGGCUAUAUACUCCUGCUUUCAAAUCUCUAACUUUUCACACUUUAACACCUGUGCACUAAUAGGCAAAGGUUUUGUUCAUUUGGGAUUAGUUCUUGUGGCUGAUACUAUGUGUAUUAUGCAUGGCUUGUCUUAGCAUUCUUUGCUAAGUAAAGUUGUGCAUAUUAUUGUGGGUCCUGUAUGAUCGACCUUUGAGGGAUUGACACAUCCCAAAAUGGGGAAUAUUAUAGGAUUUGCAUAUGCAUAUAUAUCUUCACAAGGAUGCCUCAGGUGAAUGUGUAGGCUUUUCGUCCUUGACAAUAUACAAACUCUUUAUCUGUCUUGUGGAAUGGGAUGCUCUGUUUGUGAGCAAGAAUAUGUAUACAACUUUCAACAAUGGAUCUCUUGGCUCUCGCAUCGAUGAAGAACGCAGCGAAAUGCGAUAAGUAAUGUGAAUUGCAGAAUUCAGUGAAUCAUCGAAUCUUUGAACACACCUUGUGCUCCUUGGGUCACCUAUGGAGCAUACCUGUUUGAGUGUCAUGUUAAUCUCAAUUCCCUUGGGUUUCUCAAGUGAAUUGGACUUGGAGGUUCAAUGCAGGUCUCCCCCCUCGACCUUACUUAUAGAUGGGGGUGGGAGAUCAGCUCCUCUUAAAUGCAUUAGCUGGAGGAUGAAGACAAAAGUGCCCCUUUAGUACUGUUCAUUUGCUAUGGUGUAAUAA